rnacentral:snRNA from 1 species
UCACUCUUGUUUUCCUUUAAAACAUAUAAAUCUUUCGCCUUUUACGAAAAGAAUUCCGUAGAAGGAACACUCAAAUGAGUCUUUAAUAUUUUUUGCAUAGCUUUUCUUCUGGGGAGU